rnacentral:rRNA from 1 species
GAUGAACGCUAGCGGCAGGCCUAACACAUGCAAGUCGAGGGGCAGCAUAAUGUAGCAAUAUAUUGAUGGCGACCGGCGCACGGGUGAGUAACGCGUAUGCAACCUACCUUUAACUGGGGGAUAGCCCGGAGAAAUUCGGAUUAAUACCCCAUAACAUCAUGAAUUCGCAUGUUUUUAUGAUUAAAGCUACGGCGGUUAAAGAUGGGCAUGCGUGCCAUUAGCUAGUUGGUAAGGUAACGGCUUACCAAGGCAACGAUGGCUAGGGGGCCUGAGAGGGUAGUCCCCCACACUGGUACUGAGACACGGACCAGACUCCUACGGGUGGCAG